rnacentral:rRNA from 1 species
UACGUAGGGGGCGAGCGUUGUCCGGAUUUAUUGGGCGUAAAGAGCGUGUAGGCGGCCAGGUAGGUCUGCUGUGAAAACUCGAGGCUCAACCUCGAGACGUCGGCGGAAACCAUCUGGCUGGAGUCCGGAAGAGGAGAGUGGAAUUCCUGGUGUAGCGGUGAAAUGCGCAGAUAUCAGGAGGAACACCAAGUGCGAAGGCAGCUCGCUGGGACGUUACUGACGCUGAGACGCGAAAGCGUGGGGAGCAAACAGG